AUUGCGCUCGCCCCUGCGCCGCUAUUUACUUUGAAACCCGAUUAGAACGGACCGUCUAUUGUCGCUAAAGAGGAAGAAACCCCGGUUAGACCGGGUGAAAAGCUAAGGGCGAGCAGAACGCAUGUGAAAUAAAUAGUGGCGCGGGGGUGAAAGGGGCUCGAGUCGAACCCCUGAAAGUUUUGGGACGCUUUGUUCAAAGCUGUAGUCUUAAUUAGGCUACGAACAUUGGCUGAUCCCCGAUAUGUCAACGGUUACACAUGCAGCACACAUUUCACCGCUUUUAAUGAUUCCAUCACCAAGUAAUCCAAAUCACACCGAUCAACAAAAUGAUCAGCAAUAAAAUGCACACAUUCGUCGCGUGCAGUUCUCAAUGAACGGCGCAAAAGACGAAGUAAAAGUACCGGGAUGCGCGCGAGCUGCUGCCAGUUUGGCCACUGUAAUAGCGGCGUCUAUAUAAUGGGAUGCGAUAUCAUGACGGAGAGAGGGAAUAAAAGGUCGAUAGCUUAGACACAGAGGGCGAAGCCUAAUGUUUUGACACUUAAAAGGUGAUUCUGAAUGUUAUUGUUUACCGGUGUUGUUUUUAUUGAUCCAAUAAGGGCGGAAGUUCCUGCUGUAAUGGCAAAGCAAACCGGCUUUUUUUGUGCAUGAAUACUGAAGCUCGCGCUUCACUACAGGCUUUACAGGCUUAUAAUGUCUGGAUCGGGCUGCCAUCUAGCGUACAGUAGCUAGACAAUUACAGGGAAAUAGGAGUGAAUAAUUUAUUGUUAGCGGGUAUUUUACAAAAUAUUGCUUAGGACUUUUUUUUUUCUUUUUUUUUUUUCUUAGCAUUUAAUGAGGAUUGCUUUAUUGAUGUAUUUUUGUUAAUUAAAAAAAGAAGAAGAAGCAUUUUGACUGUAUUUCCGGCAAUUUAGUUAAACCUUAAUGCUUUUGGUAAAAUAAGAUAUUCAGAUCAUUUGGCGUAAGUUCGAUUAUUAGUUCGAAAGCAUUGUUUUUAUUCAAUUAAUUGUUUAUUUUUUUAGGCUUUAUGAUUUAUAUUGUGUAAACACCGAUAUUUAGACGAUUGUAAAUAUAAUACCUCACGUAAACGCGUACACGGACAAAAUUCCAGCGAAGCAUUAUUUCGGAAGUUAGACAUUAAUGAGGCUCAAAACCUCGCUGUUUUUGGAGAAAGAGUGUUUGCGCAUCGUCUCUUCUGUUCCGCAAACGCACCGCGCUGCCCUCUGUCCUCGGCACACAAAAAAAAGGUGAAACGAACGGGAUUAAAUCAGACAAAGGGCAAACUUCUGUAAGUGUAUCAUCAAGAUUUUACUCCACAGACUGGGAAGAGAGCGAGGGAGAGGCGAGAGAGAGGGAGAGGGGCAGCGAAUGGGAACGCAAGGCGAAGGCUGGGAAACAGCGAGAGAGAGAGAGGGAGAAGAGAAGAAGGAGAAGUGGACACCGCUGCAAACACACGCCGCUACACUGCAACACCGUUCCCUGGAAUUCUGCUCGUUUCGCAGAGGUUUGGCUAACAGUGAAACUUGAGCAGCUGCAGCAUGUUCUUCAGCACGGAUAUGGAAAGCUGUGGUCACAUGUCACAUAAUGACAGCUCUGUUAGUUGCUGUCUGUUUGUUACGAAAAUGCACUGACCUCAUCAACAUAAUCAGCGGCUAUGAUUGUAUUGUUUAUAAUGAUAACAUGAACUGAAGAAUGCUUGCUAAGACAUCCAAUAAAUAUGUUUGAAUGGGAAUGAUUGUAAUUAUUAUUUUUUUUUGUGAGUCACUGCUUCGUAAAAGCUCUACUUGUGCUUGCUAAAUUGUCUGUUUUAUCUGUCUGCCAUCUCUGACAUUCUUCCAGCAGUAUAUAUGCUUAGGUCAUAAAAUUGGGGCUCAGAGUGGAUUGAAAAUGUUCAUGUUAAAAUGGCAGACGGCAACAGAGUUCACAUAUGUUCAAAGGUAAAAUAUAGAACCUUGAAGAGUCCUGUCCUCCGAGGGAACCAUUAAACUGAAACUCUUUUGGAUCAGCCUGAAACUCUUUUCUUAUCCAAACUAAAACCUUUUGGAAGCUGAGAAGCCUUGGCUAUACAGAAGAACCAUAUUAAGAAUCAGUACAGGAACACUAACUGAAAAACAAACACAGGAAGUGCUAUGCCUACAUCUCUGUUUAUGCUCUGUCCUUCUCUCACACUGUACAAUGUGUGUGUCCUCUUUCACCUCUCUCUAUCAGCUCUAUCAGAUCUGAGCAGGAAAGAAUGCAGCAGUCCCAAACACACACAUUCCUCUAGGCUAGCUUUAUAAUAUUCCCGUCCGAAACAUGCAUUACAGCCUUAAUUUCAUGUGAAAUAAUAAUAAAAAAGCACAAAAUGUAUUCACAGCUGUGUUCUUCCUGGGCUUCCUGCAUAACAACUGCAUUGUUUUGGGAAAUGUACUGUAUAUUAAGUGUCUUGAAUACUUGUGUAGAGAUAUAUAAACUACAUAAACAACUAUAAUGUAAAUACUGAGCAUGUAUAUACUGUUCCAACUGGAUUGCAGUAGUACAUUUGUAUAAAUGUAUAUCUAGAAGGAACACAAGUGCAUGUUGGCACAAGUGUAUGCUGACAUCAGGUCUCUCUCGUGUGUAACAGGGGAAGAUAAAUUCAUUUGUGCUGGAUUGCCAAUGAGAUUUUCUUUCUGAUUGUGACAGUAUGUACAUAACUGACCAGUAAAUGUUUUUUCUGUAUAGUUUCCAUGUAAGCGGAUGUAGAAACGUCCAUGCAUAGUAACUGGGUUCAGAAGUAAACACACUGACGUUAUUAUCAUUUGUUUUUAUAAAACACAAAGGCUAAAUAAAAAAGUCAACAAACAUAACGGAGAUGGAAAUAAGAAAGAGAUAGCAAAACAAUAAAAGCCCAAAUUGAAAAAAAAGGGUAAAGAAAGUAAGUAAGAAUAAAGAUAAAUUAAUUCAGCCACAUCUUUUAUUAUCCUAAUCAUGACUGCACAGUAUGUGGCUGCUAAAUAUCUCCUCAUAUUACAAAAUGAUAAUUGGCUUACUUAAUGUUCACUAUUAUCAUUUGAUGCUAAUGUCAUGUCUGACAGAGCACAGAGAACGAAUAUGAUACCACUUGGUCCCUCGUUGUGUCCUGGACUUUUCCUUCUAGGUAUUUGUGACUCAGCCGUGCCAGCAUGAACAAAAGCUAUGCUUCUUCAUCUAUUAGAGCAUGGUUAAAGGUAAGUGGCACCCCCUAUUAGGAUGACAAGGAAAUUAAUGGUACAGUCUGUCCCCUGGUUGUGCAUUACUUAUUUAUAAGUUAACAACCUUUCCUUGCUUUGGCAUGUCUGUUACAAUUUUUGAGAGCACAGGUGAACCCCUCAUACACCUGAGAUACGACUGGCACGAAAGCAAAUAUACAGUGUAUUUACUGAUAAUCUCUAAAAAAAUAAAAAAAUAAAAAAAUGUUACUGUGACUGAGCCUUUAGUGUAUUUGUACAGGACACUACUGAAGGAAACAUCAUGUAUUCGAAUGAAAUAAACUGACCACAAGCAUGUACAUCUUGUCGUUUCCUUUUUUUUCUCUCCCUUUGUCUGAUAUCACAUGGUUUAUCGAGGGCAUUAUUGUGUACAGCUCUCAAAGGACCAAGAUGCUUCCCUUUUGCGGAUCACGUGGCAGGAUCAUGUGUGUAGUUAUGAAUUUCUUAUUGGCUGGCAACAAUGUGGCAUGUAUUACUGGAUUUUUUAUGGCAUGGGGUGGGGUGUCUAUGGGCAUAACCUUUGUAUAGGAGCAUAGCUAAGCUUUUAACCAUUCGUGCUGAUGAGGGGACCGCAGCCCUAAUUUUGUGGGUGAUGACACCUGCCCUUUUCAGCAGGCUGCAGGAGAAGCCAUGGGAAUGCUCGCAUGCAACAGAGGGUCUGAGCAUUGGAACAAUGUGCGUGAAUGUGCUGCCACAUGAACAAUGCAACACCACAUGGUGAGGUGAUGGUGGGUGGAAAAGAGAUCGCUGUUUUCAAUGCCCACCCCCACUGUGAUUCCCCUCUCUCUUUCUCUCUCCCCUCCUGUAGUCCCCUCCUCUUUGGUGGACCUUCCUAUAAAUCUUUUCUGUCAUACCUGUUUUUUGUACAGUGUGAAUAAGUAAACAGCAAAUCCCAAUGUCCUGCCUUUAUGAGGACACAGCCCAGUAGACACAAGACUUACUGGAUACAGGAUUAUGUCCUGUAUCAUGCAGUAGCUGUAUUUAUAAUCUGUCUUUCAUCCCUCCGUGUUCACACACAGGACUAUGGGGUUGCAGCUGUGUGGCAGCUGCCUUUACUGUGUGUCUAGCCUUGUGUGGAUCUUGCCUUGCAGAAAGCCAGCGUUUGCCGCUUCCCACCUCCUUCCCAGAGACUCCCAGUCGUAAUAGACGGUAAUGGCCUAAGACAAAUCAACCCAUUUCUUGUAAAAAUAGCAGCAAAUAACCCCUGACUUCAUGUCACGAGCAGAAGUGGAGAGGCGCUCGAUUCUGAAGGCCUCACAACGGGCAUGAACCUCAUGAGGAGGCUUGGGCUAUGUUUGAACAAAGCCAUAAGUCUGGAAUACUUACAAUUUUCAACUCGGGAUGGAUUGGUAACGAUCGUCUGUCUGACUUCUCAGGUUAAUCCUGGUUUUCCUUCUUAUGAUGACUCAGGCAAGAAGCUACUCUGUCUUUAACCAUAGUUUAAACAUUUAUUAAACUACAUUCACUGUAACUACUGAUAUUAGCUAUUUCAAUCUCUGUAAACAUAAUGGAGAAAUAAAAGGAUCAUAUGGCAAGAAUCCCUCUGAAUGGAGGUCUAAGUAUGAGUGGACUGCCUGGAAGGAUGUGGUUGCUGUGUGGCAGACCUGGGCAGAGGUUCAGAGGGUUUGUAGUGCUCUGGCCAGGGCUCCCCAUGUGCUCCCUCGGGGACCUGGAAACACACACACACACACACACACACACACACACACACACACAUGAGGGUUGACUCCAAGUAACAUUACAAAUCUUACAUUAUUUCUUGUAAUCUUUCACAUUUGAAAAUAAUGACAGGAAAGUAAAUUCUAAAUAAUACAUGGAAACAACAUCAACAAAAGUUGAACUAAACUGAUCCGUUAUGUAAAGG